UUGCAAUAGCAACAAUAUAAAUUACCUACAGCAGUUCACCUAGUGAGUGUUGAUACUUUCAGUCUGAGCAA
rnacentral:snoRNA from 1 species